AACGAACGCUAGCGGCAGGCUUAACACAUGCAAGUCGAACGCCCCGCAAGGGGAGUGGCAGACGGGUGAGUAACGCGUGGGAACGUGCCCUUCGCUUCGGAAUAGCCCCGGGAAACUGGGAGUAAUACCGGAUACGCCGUAUUGGGAAAGAUUUAUCGGCGAAGGAUCGGCCCGCGUUGGAUUAGCUGGUUGGAGGCGUAAUGGACCCCCAAGGCUACGAACCAUAGCUGGUCUGAGCGGAUGAGCAGCCACACUGGGACUGAGACACGGCCCAGACUACUACGGGCGGCAGCAGAGGGGAAUCUUGGACGAGGGGCGCAAGCCUGAUCCAGCCAUGCCGCGUGAGUGAAGAAGGCCUUAGGGUUGUAAAACUCUUUCACCGGAGAAGAUAAUGACGGUAUCCGGAGAAGAAGCCCCGGCUAACUUCGUGCCAGCCGCCGCGGUAA
rnacentral:rRNA from 1 species